rnacentral:tRNA from 1 species
CCUGGUAGCUCAGACGGUAAAGCAUCUGCCUACAAUGCAGGAGACCUGGGUUCAAUCCCUUGGUCAGGA